CUUUUCCAGGAUCACACUGUAAAGUGAAGCCUCUGCUGGGGUGCAAACGAGGAGGGAGAGCCAUGCAGUGGUUCCAGGGUAUGCCACAGUGAUUGCCAGAGGAGACACGGACUUGCGAAGGUAAACUCACCCAUUGCACCUUGGUCCUAAGAGGCAUGCGUUGCUCAGCAGUUGGUUUCCCAAGCUAAUGCUGUUUUUCUAUUUGUCAAAGCAAGCCCUACAACUGUACAUUGAUCUUUGGGAUAAUUCAGGUGACUGACCUACCAAAUUCAGGUAUCAAACCAAUCUAUGUCACAAUUAUUAAUUACUUGCCCUUCAGUGGUGUGGGUCUUUCAAAUUUGCACUCCUGGCAUUAGGCACUGGAUAAGUCUGUGUCUCAUCCAGCGGGCAGAGGAGGUCCUGCUGUGGAGUGGGAUGUUUAGCUGCUUCUGUGGUCUUGACCCUCCAGAGGCCAAGAGUACCACCCACACCCCUAAUCAUGAACAUUAUAAAGUCUCCAGACAUUGCCAAAUGUCCCCAGAGUGGGGUAGGUGAGGGAGGGGAGUCACUCUUAGUUGGGAACCAUUUCCCUUUGGCAUUUUUUUUUUAAUUCAUCCUUUGCUUCUGUGUAGUUCCCCAAGCUCUAGAUGGGACUUCCCGAUCAUUUGUCAAGUAAUCAACACUUAGCUGUUAUUACACAGAGCUCUUCAGAGGAAAGGUUUUCAAAUGAAUGGACAAUAGACAAUUCGUGUCUGAUAUGGCGAUUGCAUUGAAGACAGUGCCUUUGAGAAGGUGGCUUGUCACAUGGAUAUCAAUUCCCUUAGCCAACUGUGUCCAGGAGUUGUUAUGGGCCGGGAAACUCAAUCUCCUUGCUCCCUUUACAAUUCUGCCUAUCCGGACAGGUUACGCAGAGGUCUUUUUAAAAUGAGAACCUUUAUGUUUGUUGGAAUACAUGGCCGAGAGGAUCUGGGGCUGAAAGCGGGCUUCUGGAACAAAACCCCCAAUGCAGGGCAGGGGAAAGGAUGCCCAUUAUGGGGUGUUGUGAGGAGGCAGCGACACCCUGUAAUGGGAGAGAGCUGGAAAAUGGGGUUCUGUCCUCUGUCUGGGGAUUCUGGCUGAUAAAGAUUGAACAUGGCUGGCAACUCUCAAAUGUCAAGAGGUGAAAUCCCAGGGAAAAGGUGUACUUCAUUCUCCUGCAGAGAGGACUAUGAAAUAAAAAGAACAAGACUCUAAAGAGCCCUUGAAGCUCUAAUUUCUGGAGAAAAACAACAUUUCCCUGCCAUCUUAGUAGCUCCUGGGAAGCCUACGGUACUGGCUGGAGGCGGCCAUGAAGAGGAGUAACAACAGGUCCAAGGCACUGGCAAUGAAUCUCAACUUGAACAUCCGAAGCAUCAGCAAGUGGAGGGGAAUAGAAAUCCCUGGGACAAGUUCACCAGGAAGCACCGUGCAGGAAGAGACCGACCCCAUAGCAAAGCUUCCUGGGAUCAAGUGACAUAUAAUCCUGGUUGUUCUCAAAAUGGAUGCUUCCUUCUCCUGGAUUCCUACUCAAACCAGGAUGGACUUACUCAGUUUACAUAUUUAAGGACAGGCAGCCAGUACCCUGACCUUAUAAAGGGGCAUGGAUGAAAGAGGACUCUGUUGCUUCUCGAGGGGAAUUCCACGUCUCCUGAGCUCAUGUUUAGCCGUGUUCCAACUGUGUGCUAAACAUACAGUCCACGUACGACCGAUUAGCCAAAAUACUGAUCUGAGGUCUGGGGGUCUUCUGAUCCCUCCACCAGCUCGUCCCUCUUUCCUACCUCUGCUCAGUGGCAACACUUGUAUUUGAUCUCUGCUUAUUGCCCUCACUGGGCUGAGUUGUGUCUUUCCCUUGGAUGCUGAGCUUGGAUUUGCUUUUUAAGUCAUAGUAUUUUCCUCUGCUGUCACCUAAGGCAGGUCCCAGGCCACACGGCCUGUUCUAGGGCAUUGCCACUCAAUGUGUGGUCCCCAGAUCUGCUUACUUGUCCUCCAUGGGAUAAAUAUAGAAAUCAAGGGUAAGCUAUUCAAAACUUUUAAUAAGGACCUGAUAGAGCAAUUUUUAUAAAUUUAUAAUUUUUGUAACGAUCUAAUUAAAUCUGAUCUAUUAUUUAGAUAUUAAUCUAAUGAAAUCUAAUAAUAACACAAAUCGGACUUUUGCGUUUCUUUUCACCCCCACCCCUGGUAAUUCAUUUGGAAAAUAUUUUACAAAUUUUGGUCUUGUAAGGAUCAAGAAAAACAAACUUGCUUUCUAUGUACAUAGUUCGAGAAGCAGAGGUCUGGGGACCCCAUCUGGUUGCCAGACCCCAGAUGACCUCAUCUUUAGUCCUCCAUUUGAUCUCUCUAGUUAUUUCCAAGCACAGAGGCCAAGGAUGACCAAAGCUGCUCUUCAGAGAGGAUGGCCUCUGAUCACUCUGAGC
rnacentral:lncRNA from 1 species